UUGGUUUCUCUCCAUGGUUUCAAAGACCAUGCUGUCAGGGACAAACUGACCAGUACACAGCUUCAUGUCAGAGCCUGAUCCAGGGCACUGUAGAGGGGAAAGGAAGGGGACCCCUUCCUAGGGCUGCUGGGCUCAGGAGGCAGAGCUGUGCAGGGCUUUGGCAUGGACUUGCUGUAUCAGUCUGUUUUCAAAAUGGCUAUUCUGCUUCUCAGGGUUUGCAGAAGACUUCCAACAGCCAAAAGGACCACAGAAAAGAUUUUUAAGGGAUCAGAUAUAUAAGAAAUGUAAGGGCACAGGUCAAAAGCUAACAUUUUCAAGAGCAGAUAAAGCCCUAAGGCUGUAAACAACUCAGUGUGGGACAGCUGACUGUGUACAGGUGAUUGUCUAGAACAGCUACUGUGAUGUGCUCUCCAGGAGAUGAGAUCAGCUGGCAAAAACCAGGAUGUGUAUUUACAGAGCCUGCUGCAAGGGCCACUGACGUGUCAGUAUGCCAGGCACAAAGGGGAGGUUUUGUCAAGUUUCCAGGAGGAUGUGCUCCAGGAUCUUUCCAGGCACGAAGGCGGGACUGACUGGUCUGCAGUUCCUCAGGGAGCAAAUUUGUUGCCUGUUUUUUCCCAGUGAUUUAUUCAGCCAGGCCACUUGUGCUGCAGUGUCUUGUCUUAUGGAUGGAGGACAGAGUAUUCACUUGUAUAUUCCUGCAGUGAAUAAAGAAGAUAAGAGAGAAAGGAGCAGAUGUUUUUUGAAAUACACUAGCUCAAAAAAGAUUUAUAGUAAUGACUGUAGAGCCCAUAUCCAAACAAAUUCAGUAAGCAAAUGCCUACUUCUACUAGCGAGGGUUUGUGUUGACGGAAUGUAAUUUUUUAUUUAUGGUUAAAGAUUGACCUGGCGUGGAGAGCAGGGGAAAGUAAACCAUUUGUUAUUUCAGUCCUCUGUUUCCGUCUUGGAUUAUACUUUUUGCAUGUGGAGACACGUUGCAGGGAAUUGCCCAUAUGGGUAAAGUGACCUCCAGGCAGGAGGUGACUCACCACUGCUUCCCUAGGCUGCAGCCAUCCAGUCCCACUGUGCCACACUCCAUUGCUCUCAACAGCUCUUGGGGGCUCAGCUGUGUACAAGUUUAAGUGCUUUGCCACCUGAAGAGCAAGUGCAAACACACAGUGAAAUGUGAAGAUGAUCCCAUGUUUGGUCAGGUUCUUGGGAAAUGCUUUUGCAGAGGAAAGUCUGACUCAUUUCUUUGACUCUGAAAAGAUAUUCCACACCUUUGUGUGAGCUGUGUGUGAGAAAGUAUAUAGAAUCAUAGAAUAGUUUGGGUUGGAAGGAUCCUUGAAGGCUAUCUAAUUUCAAUCCUCCUGCCAUAUGCAGGGACACAUUCCACUAGAUCAGGUUGCUCAGAGCCCCAUUCAACCUGACCUUAAACACUUGCAGGAAUGCGUCUUCCACAGUUUCUCUGGUCAUUCUAUGCCAGCGCCUCACCACCCUUACAGUAAAGAAUUUUUUCCUUAUAG